rnacentral:rRNA from 1 species
AUGUUGGUGAAGCUGAUAGAUGGGCGAUGGGAGGUGACGCACUUUGUUCGUGACCACAAUCAUCCGCUCGUGAACAAACCUUCAUUGUCCAAAUACUUGAGAUCCCACCAAGGCAUCUCACCUGAUGAAAAGGAGUUUCUGCGCAUCUUGUAUAACUGCAACUUGACUACAGGACGAAUGAUGCAUGUAAUGGCAGAGUUCUAUGGAUCUGAGAUGAUGGUGCCGUUCGGACCAAAGGCAAUAACAAAUCUUUGUAAAAGUUUCCGUAGAGAUGACACAAAGGAGGGUGAUCUGAUUGAGACAAUUGCGCACUUCAAGGAUAUACAAAAAACCGAUCCAGACUUCUUCUAUAAGGUGAAAUAUGAUGAAGAGGACAGAGUUGUCAACAUAUUUUGGGUGGACGGCUUAGCUCGAAAAGCUUAUGUGGAGGCGUACCACGAUUGCAUAUCGUUUGACACCACCUACAUGACCAACUUGUACAAUAUGCCGUUCGCGCCCUUCAUAGGAAUAAACCGACAUGGCCAAUCUUUCAUGCUGGGUUGCGCGUUUGUGAGGCAGGAGUUGGCAUCGAGCUUUGAUUGGGUCUUUGGAGCAUUCCUAGAGGCUAUGGAUGGCAAACCUCCUGACAACUUCAUCACCGAUCAGGAUGGUGCGAUGAGGCAGUCAAUACAGAGCAUCUUUCCAACCACCGUGCACCGUUGUUGUCGAUGGCACAUCAUGAAAAAGGCUCAGGAAAAGGUUGGUUGGUUGCUGUGCCGGAAUCCAGGACUCUCUGAUGAUUUCAACAAGUGUGUUGACUUCAGCUUCACUAUAGACGAGUUUGAGCAGAAUUGGGCUAGGUUAAUGAUCAAGUAUGAGGCUAUGGCACACACGCACUUUGAGAAGUUGUACGAAUACAGGUCAACCUGGGUGCCGUGCUACUUCAAACACAGGUUCUUUCCCUUCCUCCAGUCUACACAGCGUAGUGAGGGGUUCAACGCCGUCCUCAAAAGAUAUGUGAACCCACACAACUCAAUGUUGAACUUCGUCAAGCAAUAUGAAAAAAUACAGAACCACAUCCUUGCCAAGGAAGGCUGCAAUGAUUACAGGACACAACACCUUGAGAUUGAGUUGUGGUCCAACUUCCCAAUAGAGAAGCAAGCUUACAAAACCUAUACUAGAGACCUUUACCGCAAGUUUAGAGAAGAGUUUGAGCUGAUUGGACGUUAUAAUGCAUUCCAAGUUGGUGCUGAUGUGUUUGAGCUCAAACCGAACCAGGAAUUUGUUGCGAAAUAUGGUUCUUGA